rnacentral:ncRNA from 1 species
AGAGUAGAGGCGCGGUGUUGAUGAGUAACCUGCGGCGGGAGGGCUUCACAGGCCUGGGCUGCGGGGGAAAGGCACCACCGCCGAAGAGCGCCGAGGUGAAAGGCGGCUCUGGGCGGGCAGAGAAAAUCUGUUCGACUGUCGCAUAUGCGGAGAGCUACUGU